rnacentral:rRNA from 1 species
AGCUUUAAUAUUUUAGUAUAAUAGAAACACUUUGAUCCAUUUCGAACUCAAUAAGUGAAAUAUUAUAAAUCAUUGACAAUACUAAAAAGAAAUUUUUUGGGAAGAUAAAUCGAUAUUAAAGUU